UACGAAGGGGGCUAGCGUUGCUCGGAAUCACUGGGCGUAAAGCGCACGUAGGCGGCUUCUUAAGUCAGGGGUGAAAUCCUGGAGCUCAACUCCAGAACUGCCUUUGAUACUGAGAAGCUCGAGUCCGGGAGAGGUGAGUGGAACUGCGAGUGUAGAGGUGAAAUUCGUAGAUAUUCGCAAGAACACCAGUGGCGAAGGCGGCAUCCUGGACCAACACUGACGCUGAGGAGCGAAAGCCAGGGGAGCAAACGGGG
rnacentral:rRNA from 1 species